GGUCCCUUAGCUCAGUGGUAGAGCGUGUGAUUCCAGAAUUGCAAUCUAUAUUUCCACAAGGUCGUCGGCUCGACUCCGGCAGGGAUCA
rnacentral:tRNA from 1 species